GCUUAACACAUGCAAGUCUUUGGCGAAUCUGUGCUUGCACAGGCUAGCCAAGGCGGACGGGUGAGUAACGCGUAAAGAACUUGCCCUGCAGACAGGGAUAACAGACGGAAACGACUGACAACACCUGAUACAGUUGCCGGCACGCAUGUGCCUGGCAAUGAAAAGAGAUGCUGCGGGAGAGCUUGCGUCCUAUUAGCUUGUUGGCGGGGUAACGGCCCACCAAGGCGAUGAUAGGUAGCCGGCCUGAGAGGGUGAACGGCCACAAGGGGACUGAGAUACGGCCCUUACUCCUACGGGAGGCAGCAGUGGGGAAUAUUGGACAAUGGGGGCAACCCUGAUCCAGCAAUUCUGUGUGCACGAGGAAGGUUUUCGGAUUGUAAAGUGCUUUUCAGCAGGGAAGAAGGAAGUGACGGUACCUGCAGAAGAA
rnacentral:rRNA from 1 species